rfam:Gossypium raimondii chromosome 4, whole genome shotgun sequence.
AAUCUAUGCAUCUAACAUUUUUGAAUUAAGUCUUUAAAUCGUUCCCAAGCUUCAUAUAGUGUUUCAUCCUUUGAUUUUCGAAAAUAUAUGAUGUCAUUUCUAAGCUU